rnacentral:lncRNA from 1 species
AUCCAUAUUAUUCAAAGAGAAAACGAGAGAGAUGAUGAUUCUGAGGCCACCCUAUCCCAGCCAUAUUAUUCACAUAUCGAGUCCCAACAGCAACAGUGUAGGGAUGAGCACGAAAUACUGUAAAUUAAAUGCUGAAUGGAGGUUCAUGCAGGGAAAGAACAUAUCAAUAUUCGCAUAUUCAUUCAAAAACAUGAAAAUUCUUAAUGGAGUACCCUCAUUUUUUAUUGAAUUCCUAAAAACCAAUAUUUAUAAUGAAUUUUAAUAAUUUUUUCGGAUUUUUUUGAAGCUUUAUUCUGACCGAUUC